rnacentral:misc_RNA from 1 species
AGUUGAUUUUGCAAUGGAAAAGCUCGAUGUGGAUGCUUCAAUUGAUGAAAGAGUAGACUUCAUUAUUGCUACCCAGGUAGCUGCAGAUUUUAAUGAGGAAACAAAUGACAAGCUUGACAAUGAUGCAGAAAUAAAUGAGGAUUUUAGUAAUGAAAUUUUGUUUGGGACUAUGGAGAAAACACUUCGUUUGCUUGAAAUGGGUUUCUCUGA